rnacentral:rRNA from 1 species
CACGUAAGGUGCGAGCGUUGUCCGGAAUUAUUGGGCGUAAAGAGCUCGUAGGCGGUGUGUCACGUCGGCCGUGAAAACCUGCAGCUUAACUGUGGGCGUGCGGUCGAUACGGGCAUCACUGGAGUUCGGCAGGGGAGACUGGAAUUCCUGGUGUAGCGGUGAAAUGCGCAGAUAUCAGGAGGAACACCGGUGGCGAAGGCGGGUCUCUGGGCCGAUACUGACGCUGAGGAGCGAAAGCGUGGGGAGCAAACAGG